rnacentral:lncRNA from 1 species
CCGGCUAGCCGGUGCAGGAUCCACAAUCUUCAAGGGUGGCCAGGUGCUUCCAAGAUCCUAAACGCAGUUAACCACUCGGCGAGGUAGAAAACAGGCCCAGAGAAGUUCAAGAACUUGCUGUAGAAGAUUACUGAACGAGUAAGCAGCAGAGGCCGGUCUAGAACCAGCCCCGUGUGCCCUUCUGACAGCGCAGCAGCAGCACUUAACACCUAACCGGCUUGGCUAAAUUCUAUGUGAGAGGCACUGGUGCUGACGGUAAAAAUAAAAACAAAACACCAUCCAGUCCAGAGGCAGCUUACAGCUCAAUAGAGAAGGAUGAAUUCAAAAUUCUUCUGGCAUUAUUACUUGCCAAAGAAGAGUGGGGACAUGUGUCCCUCUUCUGCCAUACUGUGACCUGGACAGAAGAAAGUGAAUAACGACAUUUUUCUCCCUGAAGCCUUCGGGAGCUUGGCCUGCAGAAGCCUCUUCUUGGUUAGGACUCAGAACCCUCUCAGAACAUUGUGACCUGCCAGAGCUGGCAUUGCACAGAGACCUUCCUGGGCAACCCUUGAUUCACCGUCCCAUAAAUGUCCAGAUGGAGGAAGUGGUCUGGGGAAGAUGGACCAUUACGAAGAUUAAUGCACCUUUUAU